rnacentral:rRNA from 1 species
UACGAAGGGGGCAAGCGUUGUUCGGAAUUAUUGGGCGUAAAGGGCGCGUAGGCGGGUUGGUAAGUCCGCUGUGAAAGCCCGGAGCUUAACUCCGGAGGGUCGGUGGAUACUGCCAGUCUUGAAGGUGCUAGGGGGAGAUGGAAUUACCGGUGUAGCGGUGAAAUGCGUAGAUAUCGGUAGGAACACCAGUGGCGAAGGCGGUCUCCUGGGGCAUUCUUGACGCUGAGGCGCGAAAGCUGGGGGAGCGAACGGG